UGCUAUUGGCGGUUUCUAUUGCUUAUCCAUACUUUUCAACACUGUUUUCUUUGGUCGUCCGUCGUCACAUAUGAUGACAAUUGACAAAUUAUAUAGAAUUUCAGAAGAUAUCAAAAUUACACAAGAAAACAAGCCCUUCAAUGGUAUCAGUAACUUGGAGAUGAUGAAACUAAUUCAAUAUUAAAAAGGAAAAAAUGUCAUUCAAUUAAUUUCCGUAAGAAACUAUGUGAACUGGUCUUUGGUAAGUGUGUCAUCUGCAGAUUAAAUUGAGUCAAUGUUAAACAGCUCUGACUAUUUGUUUUCUGGAAUUUUUGUCAAACUUAAAGGCAAAAUUAUGGAACUAUGAACAAAAACAAAAUAUUUCUUAGUUUUCUGAUUUUUUUGGAUUUUUUUUAUUUUUAUAAUAUUUUUUGUACAGUGGUUCAUGUUGGGGUUUCUUUGAAAAAUAAAUUUCAUAUUUUGUUUUACUGAUGUACUAAAAAUACAUUUAACCAAAAAAAACCAUGGAAAAAUUAAUUAGACUUAAUGUUUUUGUUGGCAGUUUUAUCAAUAAUAUUUUUUAAUCAAGUGGUGUCUGGCCUUCGGUCCACAUAAUCUUUCUCCAUUUAUGGCAUUAAAGAUUUCUUUCCACCGUGAAUCGAACCUAGAAGCACAACAGAGUUUUAUUAAUAGUUGUUCCUCAAGAUAUAAAACUUUAUGCAUCAAAGCAUCUCUAAAA
rnacentral:lncRNA from 1 species